AGUGAACGCUGGCGGUAGGCCUAACACAUGCAAGUCGGACGGCAGCACAGUAAGAGCUUGCUCUUACGGGUGGCGAGUGGCGGACGGGUGAGGAAUACAUCGGAAUCUACUUUUUCGUGGGGGAUAACGUAGGGAAACUUACGCUACUACCGCAUACGACCUACGGGUGAAAGCAGGGGAUCUUCGGACCUUGCGCGAUUGAAUGAGCCGAUGUCGGAUUAGCUAGUUGGCGGGGUAAAGGCCCACCAAGGCGACGAUCCGUAGCUGGUCUGAGAGGAUGAUCAGCCACACUGGAACUGAGACACGGUCCAGACUCCUACGGGAGGCAGCAGUGGGGAAUAUUGGACAAUGGGCGCAAGCCUGAUCCAGCCAUACCGCGUGGGUGAAGAAGGCCUUCGGGUUGUAAAGCCCUUUUGUUGGGAAAGAAAAGCAGCAGGUUAAUACCCCGCUGUUCUGACGGUACCCAAAGAAUAAGCACCGGCUAACUUCGUG
rnacentral:rRNA from 1 species